rnacentral:misc_RNA from 1 species
GGGCGAUGUACGAGCGGGCGGCCAAGGCGGAGGCCGAGGCCCGCGGGGUUGAGGGCAUGCGCGAGGAGUUGGAGCAUGUGCGGGAAGAUUUGGUGAAACUUAGGGCUAAUAGGGACGAGCUCGUCGAGCGUUUGCGGGGGAUGCAGAAGGAGCACGAGCGAGCUAAGUUGGAGGUCGCUCAGGUGCCAGAGAUUAGAGUGGAGAUCGAAGCCAUGCACCGGGAGAUUCAAAGGGGCAGGGCUGCAGUGGAGUAUGAGAAGAAUGCCCAUGCUGGUAACAUGGAACAAAGUCAGCUGAUGGAGGCAAACAUGGUAUCAUUGGCUCGUGAGGUUGAAAAGCUACGUGCUGAACUCGCGAAUGCGGAGAAGCGUGCACGCGCCACCGCCGCUGCCGCAGCAGCUGCCGCAAAUCCAGUUGCAGGAUAUAACACUGCUAAUUCUGAGAUGGCAUAUGGAGGAGCUGGUUAUGCUGAUGCUUAUGCUAUGCAGCAGGGAGCGGCUGAUAGCAGUGGGCACUAUGGAUCGAGAGGUGCUGCUGAUGGUGCUCCACAGUAUGGAUCGAGUGCUCC